ACUUAGAUCUGAUAUCAUCUUUAGAAACUCAUCUAUGUUCUCUUCAAGAGUUUUUGAAUCUUGCAUUCUAUAGUUGUAAACCUUGAGUUGAAGGUAAACACGGUUUGGUAGAGUCUUUACCAAAUACAAUUUAUCAAGAGUUGCCCAUGCUUCUGCGGCUGUCUUUGAAUGUUCUAUGUUUCUCAGAACUUUAUCUCCGACAUUUAUGAAGAUCAUAUCCAUCGCUUUCUCAUCUCGAUCAAUUCUUGCUUUUUCCUCUUCGAGAAUCUUUUUUUUCUUUGCUGGAUCGUCUUCUUCUUCAUCUGUCAAUGAAGAUGACUUAGUUUGUUCCACCAGCGCAUCUUUUAAUCCCAUCUUCCAUAGUGAGAAGUCGCCUGAUCCGUCGAACUGAGAAAUCUUCAGUUUCGUGUUCGACAUCCUUGAAUCGAUCUGAAAUUCUUGAGCUCAGAACCUGGGCUCUGAUACCAAUUUGUGAUCCUCGAACCCUCAAGAACACUAACGAAAUCGAUCGGACACUCGUGUGAGAUUGAACACAAAGAACCUUUAAAAGAGACACACAAGAUUUUACGAGUUCAGGCUCCGAUGAGGAACCCUACGUCUCACCGGAGAUGUCUCCGGAAUUCACUAAAAGCACUUAGCUCAAAACGAGCUUUCUCUCUCUACAAUCGUUCUGUUUUCUCUCUCUCACUUCUCUUAUUCAACAAAUUUCUAAAUCAAUCAAAUCUACAGAGAAACAACAAUACUGAAAGGAAACAGAAUAAGACGAGUAAAGGAUAAGAAAAUGCCGUUGAGAGUAAACGGAUUGGAUCGCUCCACGUGUCACGAUCUCCUUAGCUCGUCAACCAGUUGACCCUGAAACCUUCUGAAACACUUAGAGAGUCUCUUAUACUUAGCAUAUAGAUCAAUACUUCUUCACUCUAACUGUUUCGUUCUCUCCAAAUUGAAUAGAGCUGAAAGUUGUACCAUGUUAAGAAUAGGCAAUGCAUCCCCAAAGACAUGUCUAUGAGGACUGUUUGAAUAUCAUUCCAUCUUGUUGAGAAUUUAAUUAUGACCCAUAACCUUCUUGCUUAGCCCUAACCAAAUCUCGUU
rnacentral:sRNA from 1 species